CUGGCUAUGUCCCCAAGUUUUGUGCACCCCCAGCCUGCUCACUGGUGGAGUGGGGUGAGGAGCAGAAAAGGCCUUGACACUGCAUAAGCACUGAGCAUAAGUACUGCAUAAGCUGAGCAAUAACUAAAACAUCUCCAUAUUACCAAGACUAUUUUCAGCACAAAUCCAAAAUACAGCCCCAUACCAACCUAAAGAAAAUUAAAUUUAUCCCAGCCAAAACUGCUGCACCCCUGUGUACAAAGAGUUAACAACUCGGUGUAUUCACAGGAUAGGAAAUAAGAACAGACUUAAUACUGAAGUGCAGCGCAUCCUCAGGAAACACGCACACUUCCUCGGGUGACCAGAACAAAGGGGUCCACCCAGCACCACGACACAGCAGCCCACAAGACAGCUGGAUUGACAGAGGCACAAAGAAGUCAAGUGACCUGCCCGGGUCAGACAGCGCCGGUGGCUUGGAACAGAUUGGAGCCCUCCUGUCUCCAUACCCUGCACUGGACCGUGCUCCCUUUUGCAAGUUCUUCUACACUAGAGAUAAAUUGUGUCCACUUUUCCCUCUUGUCUUCUUGUCUCACAGUAAGCCCCCCUCAUUUUGUUUAUAUGGUUGUUUCACUUCUGAAUAUAGGUUUAAGCUACU